rnacentral:rRNA from 1 species
CUUGCUUCUUCGAUGACGAGUGGCGGACGGGUGAGUAAUGUCUGGGAAACUGCCUGAUGGAGGGGGAUAACUACUGGAAACGGUAGCUAAUACCGCAUAACGUCGCAAGACCAAAGAGGGGGACCUUCGGGCCUCUUGCCAUCGGAUGUGCCCAGAUGGGAUUAGCUAGUAGGUGGGGUAACGGCUCACCUAGGCGACGAUCCCUAGCUGGUCUGAGAGGAUGACCAGCCACACUGGAACUGAGACACGGUCCAGACUCCUACGGGAGGCAGCAGUGGGGAAUAUUGCACAAUGGGCGCAAGCCUGAUGCAGCCAUGCCGCGUGUAUGAAGAAGGCCUUCGGGUUGUAAAGUACUUUCAGCGGGGAGGAAGGGAGUAAAGUUAAUACCUUUGCUCAUUGACGUUACCCGCAGAAGAAGCACCGGCUAACUCCGUGCCAGCAGCCGCGGUAAUA